AAAAACAAAGCAUAACGUUUGGAGAUAAAGACAACAGAUAAAUAAAACUCAAGAAAAAUGAAAUGUUUCCAAAAUCACAAAGUGAAUCCAACUGAUUGAUAGAACUCACCCAACCUCUCGUAGGCAUCAGAAAGUUUAGAACACCAGGAGCCCCUUAGAAGAUCCAUCAUCCUUUCCCAUGUAGACUGAAUUAGGGACGAUCAUUGCUUUACGCCGAUCGAAGUUAGUUUGACAGAUUGGUCCAUCGUUUUUCCUUCACUUCAUCAGCAAAAAAAGUCGGCACCUCUUCCGCCAGAUAAGUUGUUUCCUUUUUUUAAAUUCCUUCUAUUGCUAGCAAAUGUGCUAGUCCAUUCUUUUCACUUGCAAUAUGUACGAAAUGGCAUCUUUCAUGACCUUCGCUUAAAGCUUUCAAAUAUUUAAUAAAAGAACUGAUAACCAACGCAUCUUCAACAUUUGCAUUUAUCUUUUUCACUGUUGCAAGGCCAUCAACUUCAAUUUCCACCUCACUAUGUCUUAAAGCCAGACCCAUUUGAACCACCUAAAGACAUGCAAGCGCCUCCACAGAGGUAUGUGGUUGAUGAUUAUUCCCGACCACAAAACAGACCUAUUUGAGUUUCUUCCCACUAUCCCCGAACAAGAUUUCUUUGUGUGGCUUUGGAAAGUGACGUUGAAAUUUAUCUUGAUAAAGGGUGAUUCUGGUGGUAUCCAUAGUUCUAACUCAACUCUUCUGGCAGGUAAUUUUUCAUUUAUGGCUUUUUAGUUCCCGGAUGGAUGAGUUAAUAAGAUUCACUAUCUCUUGAGUUGACUGUUUUAUCCCUUCAUGCAAGGCCUUAUUUCUUGCCGACUAGAUUGCCCAAAUAGCACAGGCCACUUGCUUCAUUUGUUCUCUAGAAAUAGUUGAGAAUAGAUAAGUCAUCCACUCCCUAUAUUCUAACUCUAAAACCUCCUAUGACCAUUUUAUUCCUAAUUUGUUCCAUACUCCCUUAACAAUGAUACAUCCUCAGAAAGCAAGCUCAAGGGUUUCAAAAUCAUUUGUGCAUCUGGGACACACCACAAAAUUUCCAAGUCGCUUGUAAAAUAGGUUAUUGAGAGUAAAAAUGUAAUUAUUAAAGACCUUCCAGUUUGUAAUCUUUAUUUUAUCUAGUAAUUAGGCUGCUAAAGUUUCUUGUAAAACAGCGUAUAGAUGCUCUGAUUGUUGAUAGGCAUAGAGUUAACACCACUUUGUAUCAAAAUUUUGUAACCACUUCUCACCAAAUAUUUACCAGUUGCUUCACCUCACCAAACCAAUCUAUCCUCAUAUGGAUGUCGAGAAAGGGGAAUGCAUAAAAUACGUUCUACAUCUUCGUUCGAAAAUAUAUUGGUAAUAUGUUCCUCUCUCCACUAUCUCAAUGUAGGCUCUAUCAAUUCAGACACAAUUGUUAGUGAAAGAUUGUUAACAAAUCUACGGAUUUUGUAAUAUAAAGAACUGAGGACCCAAUGUAAUAUCCCGUUUUCCAAUGGUACCGAAAAUAGUAGCUUUGAGACCACAACUCUGAUGUGUGAGUCUAUAAAUAUUAAUUAUUUAAUAUUUAUGAGGUCAUUAGUGUCAUGUUAAAAUUUGACUAUAAAUAUUAAUUAUUUAAUAUUUAUGAGGUCAUUAGUGUCAUGUUAAAAUUUGGUCUAGAAAUUUUGAUGUUUGAUUAGUUAAUUAAAGAAAAAUAACUAAAUCGUAAAAGUUGAAAAAGUUAAUUGCUAUUAUUUCUUUAUAGGCCAAAUGGAUGGGAAAAAAUUAUUGUGUGGAUUUAAAUGAAAAUUUAGCCAUUCUUAUUGUUAGUGACCAAUUUUGGACUUGAUUAAUUAAGUUUAUGAUUAAAAUUUUAUAUUAAACUAAUGUCAAAAGAUUAAUAAUAAUAAAACCAAAAGGGAAAAGCAUUCGUUUUCUUCAUUCUCCUAUUUUGCAAAUGGAAACACCAUUUUUAAAUCUUGGGAGCUUCAGCCUUGUAUUUUUUUCAUGCAUGUAAGUCCAUUUUCACUCAUUUUUCAUGAAUUUUAUGUUUUUGAGAUCAUUGUAGCUUAACCCAACUAGCCCAUAGACUAUUUUGUGAAAUUGUUAAUGUUUUAAAAACUUUUCAUUGAUGUUUUUGAAGCUUUUUAUAUGCUAAUGCUUUAGCUUGAAGCUUGAUGAUGAAUUAGGACUAAUUUGUAAAGUGAUUUUGAAUAGUUUUGAGUUUAGGGACUAAAAUGAUUAAAUAUUAAAAUUUGUUGGGUAUUCUUGUAAAAUUUUAGAAUUUGAUGGUUCUUUAGGGAUGGUUAAUAAUUCAACACUAUAAGUUAGGGAUUAAAUUGUGAAAAUAAGAUUGUUUUGGUUUAGGGACUAAAUUGAAUAAAAUGCAAAAGUUUAGGGUAAUUAUGUAAAAUGUCAAUAAAAAGUCAUAUGCAUCAAAUGAAUUGUUAAAAAUUAUUUGGGACUGAUAAUUGAAAUAAAAUUAUUGUAUAGAUCAAGAACCAGUAGAUAAUCAUGGAAAAGAGAAAAUUGUUGAUUAGUCUCUAAUAUUGCCAUAUUUAUUGUUUAGCCCUAGUAAGUUCAUACGGUAUUAUUUUAUGUAUUUUUGUAAUAUUAUUAUUGAAAUUUUGUAAUUUGAUGACAUGGGUUAUAAACUAAAAUGUUAUGAUUGAAUUGGUGAGAAAAUGGAUUAAAAUGUAAAUUGUUAUAAGGUUACGUGUAUUGAGCCCAGAUGAACAUAGGAUAGGAUACAAUUGGCAUGCCAAUAAAUUAUUUUGUGUACUGUAUGGGAUUGACUUUUUAUGAGAUGAUGAUUUAUGACUUGUUAUUGUACAUUGAAUAUAUUGGAGUCCGGCAUUUGUUGCGGAUUACCGAGUUAUAUUUACAGUGAUUCUUGUGUGUUAUUGGAGGCGAAUGUAAAGCCUACAGGCUUGGCACUUGGUGCCCAAAAUGUGCUUGGUUGGUGGCUCGGUUGAUCAUUUUGGCGUGCCUUGGAUGGAUAACUACAUAUCCAUAUCUAUAUUCAUCCGUUCAUCGAGCUGAAUUUCAAUGGUUAAAUGACAUGUUGAUGAUAUAUAUUUGACAUUUGGUUAUGAUGCCUUGUGGAUGACUUGUAUAUGUUUUCAUGAUUUCAAAUAUUAUAUUGUGAAUUGAUAAUGAUUGAUAUCAUACAGAUGAGAUGAUUAAAUGACUCGUGUCAUUUUUCCUAUUUCUUUGUAGAUAUUGUUUUGUGAAACUGGGUAAUCGGAUCAAGUUGAAGAUCACAUUAUCCAAAUAUCUUUUGAUAGACUUUGAA
rnacentral:lncRNA from 1 species